rnacentral:rRNA from 1 species
UACGAAGGGGGCUAGCGUUGUUCGGAAUUACUGGGCGUAAAGCGCACGUAGGCGGCUUUGUAAGUUAGAGGUGAAAGCCCGGGGCUCAACUCCGGAAUUGCCUUUAAGACUGCAUCGCUAGAAUUGUGGAGAGGUAAGUGGAAUUCCGAGUGUAGAGGUGAAAUUCGUAGAUAUUCGGAAGAACACCAGUGGCGAAGGCGACUUACUGGACACAUAUUGACGCUGAGGCGCGAGAGCGUGGGGAGCAAACAGG